GACGAACGCUGGCGGCGUGCUUAACACAUGCAAGUCGAACGGAAAGGCCCUGCUUUUGUGGGGUGCUCGAGUGGCGAACGGGUGAGUAACACGUGAGUAACCUGCCCUUGACUUUGGGAUAACUUCAGGAAACUGGGGCUAAUACCGGAUAGGAGCUCCUGCUGCAUGGUGGGGGUUGGAAAGUUUCGGCGGUUGGGGAUGGACUCGCGGCUUAUCAGCUUGUUGGUGGGGUAGUGGCUUACCAAGGCUUUGACGGGUAGCCGGCCUGGGGGGGUGACCGCCCACAUGGGACCGGGGCGCGGCCACAGACCCCAACGGGGGGAAGUGGGGGAGAAUUUGACACAGUGGGGGGGAGCUUGAGCAAGCAGCCCCGGGGGCGGAAGGACGUCUUGGGGUUUGAAACCCCUUUGCCCCGGUGACGAGGGGGGAGUGAGGUAAAGGGAAAAAGAAGCCCCGGCUACCUACGUG
rnacentral:rRNA from 1 species